rnacentral:rRNA from 2 species
CACUAUCGUUAACUGAAUACAUAGGUUAACGAGGCGAACCGGGGGAACUGAAACAUCUAAGUACCCCGAGGAAAAGAAAUCAACCGAGAUUCCCCCAGUAGCGGCGAGCGAACGGGGAGCAGCCCAGAGUCUGAAUCAGCUUGUGUGUUAGUGGAACGGUCUGGAAAGUCCGACGGUACAGGGUGAUAGUCCCGUACACCAAAAUGCACAGGUUGUGAACUCGAAGAGUAGGGCGGGACACGUGGUAUCCUGUCUGAAUAUGGGGGGACCAUCCUCCAAGGCUAAAUACUCCUGACUGACCGAUAGUGAACCAGUACCGUGAGGGAAAGGCGAAAAGAACCCCGGCGAGGGGAGUGAAAAAGAACCUGAAACCGUGUACGUACAAGCAGUGGGAGCACCUUCGGGUGUGACUGCGUACCUUUUGUAUAAUGGGUCAGCGACUUAUAUUCUGUAGCAAGGUUAACCGUAUAGGGGAGCCGCAGGGAAACCGAGUCUUAACUGGGCGUUAAGUUGCAGGGUAUAGACCCGAAACCCGGUGAUCUAGCCAUGGGCAGGUUGAAGGUUGGGUAACACUAACUGGAGGACCGAACCGACUAAUGUUGAAAAAUUAGCGGAUGACUUGUGGCUGGGGGUGAAAGGCCAAUCAAACCGGGAGAUAGCUGGUUCUCCCCGAAAGCUAUUUAGGUAGCGCCUCGUGAACUCAUCUUCGGGGGUAGAGCACUGUUUCGGCUAGGGGGUCAUCCCGACUUACCAACCCGAUGCAAACUACGAAUACCGAAGAAUGUUAUCACGGGAGACACACGGCGGGUGCUAACGUCCGUCGUGAAGAGGGAAACAACCCAGACCGCCAGCUAAGGUCCCAAAGUCAUGGUUAAGUGGGAAACGAUGUGGGAAGGCACAGACAGCCAGGAUGUUGGCUUAGAAGCAGCCAUCAUUUAAAGAAAGCGUAAUAGCUCACUGGUCGAGUCGGCCUGCGCGGAAGAUGUAACGGGGCUAAACCAUGCACCGAAGCUGCGGCAGCGACACUAUGUGUUGUUGGGUAGGGGAGCGUUCUGUAAGCCUGCGAAGGUGACCUGUGAGGGUUGCUGGAGGUAUCAGAAGUGCGAAUGCUGACAUAAGUAACGAUAAAGCGGGUGAAAAGCCCGCUCGCCGGAAGACCAAGGGUUCCUGUCCAACGUUAAUCGGGGCAGGGUGAGUCGACCCCUAAGGCGAGGCCGAAAGGCGUAGUCGAUGGGAAACAGGUUAAUAUUCCUGUACUUGGUGUUACUGCGAAGGGGGGACGGAGAAGGCUAUGUUAGCCGGGCGACGGUUGUCCCGGUUUAAGCAUGUAGGCUGAUUGUCCAGGCAAAUCCGGAUAAUCAAGGCUGAGGUGUGAUGACGAGGCACUACGGUGCUGAAGUAACAAAUGCCCUGCUUCCAGGAAAAGCCUCUAAGCAUCAGGUAACAUUAAAUCGUACCCCAAACCGACACAGGUGGUCAGGUAGAGAAUACCAAGGCGCUUGAGAGAACUCGGGUGAAGGAACUAGGCAAAAUGGUGCCGUAACUUCGGGAGAAGGCACGCUGGUGUGUAGGUGAAGCCCCUGCGGGUGGAGCUGAGACCAGUCGAAGAUACCAGCUGGCUGCAACUGUUUAUUAAAAACACAGCACUGUGCAAACACGAAAGUGGACGUAUACGGUGUGACGCCUGCCCGGUGCCGGAAGGUUAAUUGAUGGGGUUAUCCGUAAGGAGAAGCUCUUGAUCGAAGCCCCGGUAAACGGCGGCCGUAACUAUAACGGUCCUAAGGUAGCGAAAUUCCUUGUCGGGUAAGUUCCGACCUGCACGAAUGGCGUAAUGAUGGCCAGGCUGUCUCCACCCGAGACUCAGUGAAAUUGAACUCGCUGUGAAGAUGCAGUGUACCCGCGGCAAGACGGAAAGACCCCGUGAACCUUUACUAUAGCUUGACACUGAACAUUGAGCCUUGAUGUGUAGGAUAGGUGGGAGGCUUUGAAGCGUGGACGCCAGUCUGCGUGGAGCCAACCUUGAAAUACCACCCUUUAAUGUUUGAUGUUCUAACGUUGGCCCCUGACCGGGGUUGCGGACAGUGUCUGGUGGGUAGUUUGACUGGGGCGGUCUCCUCCCAAAGCGUAACGGAGGAGCACGAAGGUUAGCUAAUCCUGGUCGGACAUCAGGAGGUUAGUGCAAUGGCAUAAGCUAGCUUGACUGCGAGCGUGACGGCGCGAGCAGGUGCGAAAGCAGGUCAUAGUGAUCCGGUGGUUCUGAAUGGAAGGGCCAUCGCUCAACGGAUAAAAGGUACUCCGGGGAUAACAGGCUGAUACCGCCCAAGAGUUCAUAUCGACGGCGGUGUUUGGCACCUCGAUGUCGGCUCAUCACAUCCUGGGGCUGAAGUAGGUCCCAAGGGUAUGGCUGUUCGCCAUUUAAAGUGGUACGCGAGCUGGGUUUAGAACGUCGUGAGACAGUUCGGUCCCUAUCUGCCGUGGGCGCUGGAGAAUUGAGGGGGGCUGCUCCUAGUACGAGAGGACCGGAGUGGACGCAUCACUGGUGUUCGGGUUGUCAUGCCAAUGGCACUGCCCGGUAGCUAAAUGCGGAAGAGAUAAGUGCUGAAAGCAUCUAAGCACGAAACUUGCCCCGAGAUGAGUUCUCCCUGAGACUUUAAGUCUCCUGAAGGAACGUUAAAGACGAUGACGUUGAUAGGCCGGGUGUGUAAGCGCAGCGAUGCGUUGAGCUAACCGGUACUAAUGAACCGUGAGGCUUAACCUU